AGCUUUGCACAGUGGCAGUAUCGUAGCCAAUGAGGUUUAUCUGAGGCGCGAUUAUUGCUAAUUGAAAACUUUAUUCUCCAUUAU
rnacentral:snRNA from 1 species